rnacentral:tRNA from 1 species
UCCCUGGAGGCUCAGAUGGUAAAGCGUCUGCCUGCAACGCAGGAGACCCAGGUUCAAUCCCUGGCUCAGGAA